UGUAGCCAGACUUCUGUGCUGAGGUCGGUUGCAUCACGGUGGGACUGAAGCAAAGUGGAAGAGGGGCAGAUUGCGGAAGCCCCGGGAGGCUAUUGUGUGGUUCAUCUAAUUCUACAACCAGAUUGCUUUCCGAACACUUGGAACAAAUCUUCACUCACUCUCUGGAAUUGUUCAACACGCACAGGUUAAUUUCUACCUAUUGAUUUUCUCUAUUCUGCCUCUUGAAUGCUUCGAGAUCUCUUGACCUACCCCCAAAAUUUCUGCGACUGUCAUUUUGAAAAGAAUAGCUCUCCAAAAGAAUGCCUGAAAGACCCAUGAAGAUGACGAAAUGACUCUUCCCCAGUAUCAGCAGGGCAAUUUAACUGGACAUUUUGAUUCGAUUUCAAGGAGGGAACAAAAUCAUGAACAUUUAGAAGAUAUUUCAUAUAUUCAACGUUCUGGAUGUGAGCGCUACUCUCAUAAGCAUCCCCAGGGAGGCAUAAUAUUCUCAUGACUGAAAAUUUCAAGUUAUAUGAGAAUAAUACAGAGUCAUAACCAGAAACACCUUGGGUAACAGAAGGAGGGCAACACAGCACAGGAGGGAAGGCACUGGUCAGAAGAGCCAUCUGCCAGCCAGGAAUUAAGACUCCCGUCUUUGGCCUUUUGUUAUUCAUCUGGAAAAAACAAAGGGGGUUGGAGUCGAAGAGUCUUCCCAGUUCUCAAAUUCAAUGCUUCUAUACCCAAGACAUUAUAGACAUUUUUAUUAACAGAAAAACUAAGUUAAAAGGGAACAACAAAAGCAAAAUAAAAACAUUUUCUACCUGGAAAAACUUGAGAAAUGUAUAAUCAACAUGACUCUUUCAUCUAGAGAUGCAUCUUGAUCCUUGUAAUUUCUUCCCCCCCUUGUAAUUAUUGAAAAGUAAAAAAAUAAAAAAGUAAAAAAGUAAAACUUUUAAGGAUUAAAUGUCCCAAUUAGUUUUGUAAUCAUUCCUUUCUUCACCCCUAAAGUAUUGCCCCAUUAACAGAAAAUGGUGUCAGAAGCACUUUAUUGAUGGAAAUUCCUUCUGUGAGCUUCCAAGGGAAACAAAAAAACAUCAUCAAUAUCACCAAUAAAAAACAAACAAGUUAACAAAAAC